rnacentral:lncRNA from 1 species
AAGGCUGCAGAGAGCUCGCGCGGGCGUACGAUUCUGGCGGCGUGGGGGCCCAGGCAGCCGCCGCUUCCAGAAGGUUCGGUGGCGGUUGGGCCGCGCCGGUGCGGGGAAGGCCCGCUAGCCGCGGCAGCCGCGCCCGACCCGGUGGCAGCCCCGAGGGAAGCGUCUGGGGCGGCCUAAGUGGCGGAGCAGGGCGGACUUGGGCCCUCACUCUCCGCGCGGCGGUAAAUAUUUGUGCUGGGCGUUCCCGGCCGCCCGCGCCGCCGAUUCGCUGCCGCGCCCAGUGCCUGGGCGGCCGGAUGAGGUCAGAGCGGAAGGCGCGGCCCGGGCUCCUGGCAGUGGGGCCUGAUUCCCACCCCCGCCCCCAACCCACCCCGGCACCAGUCGCCCGCAUCGCGGCUCUCGCUAAGAUCGGCCCUAAGAGAGAAUGGAAGGCUGUUUCCUAGAAAGGAGCAUUGGUGGCGGCUGCUGGGAAGACACGGGGAAUGGAACGGGCCUUUGCUUCCGCAGCACAAAGCGUCACGAGGUGGGGAGGAGGAAAGGCCGGCGACUAUCUACACCGCCGCCUGCAGCUUUUACUGGGAGCGCUGAGCGCCAGCCUGGAGGUGCACGUGUUGCAGUGAGGAGCCCUGAAACAUGCGUGUUUUACUGCACAAGAUGUGCCCUUGAAUGGAGUCUAGGCCAGUCGGGGUCACCAAAAAAAAUCCACCAAAAAACACCCAAGAAGGGAGAAGCGGUCACCCCCCACGUGCUGGAAUGACAGCUUUUUACUUGCUAGGCAGUUGGACCUUUUCCGAAUUUUCUACAAUGCACAUAGAUUUGUACUUACAUCUUUAAAUUAAAACCCACGCAACUCCGGCUCCCUAGUGCAAUUUGAACAACCCAUUUACACUCAGCUAGGUAGCUCUGAAGGAACUGUGCCUCACCCCGGUCACCCUUGAGUUACCAGACCGUGGAGGCAGCCCACAGCAUGAUCUGUAGCUCCCAGAAGCAGGGGCAGUCAAAGUCAGAACUCUGUGAUUUCAAGACUUUUAUACUAAGAAUUUUGUUUUUCUGUUUUCUUUUUUUUUUUUUUUUUUUGAGACGGAGUCUUGCUCUGUUGCCCAGGCUGGAGUGCAGUGGUGCAAUCUCAGCUCACUGCAAGCUCCGCCUCCCAGGUUCACGCCAUUCUCCUGCCUCAGCCUCCCAAGUAGCUGGGACUACAGGCGCCUGCCACCACGCCCGGCUAAUUUUUUGUAUUUUUAGUAGAGACGGGGUUUCACUGUGUUAGCCAGGAUGGUCUUGAUCUCCUGACCUUGUGAUCUGCCCGCCUCUGCCUCCCAAAGUGGUGGGAUUACAGGCGUGAGCCACCACGCCUGGCCUGUUUUCUUUUUUUGAUAUAGAGUCUCGUUCUGUCGCCCAGGCUGGAAUGCAGUGGUGUGAUAGCUCACUGUAACCUCUGCCAUCCAGUUUCAAGCAAUUCUCCUGCCUCAACCACACUGAGUAGCUGGGACCAUAGGCAUGCACCACCACGUUUGGCUUAUUUUUGUAUUUUUAGUACAGAUGUGUCCAGAAUUGGUGGGUUCUUGGUCUCACCGACUUCAAGAAUGAAGCCGCGGACCCUCGUGGUGAGUGUUACAGCUCUUAAGGUGGCGCAUCUGGAGUUUCUUCCUUCUGGUGGGUUCGUGGUCUCCCUGGCUCAGGAGUGAAGCUGCAGACCUUCACAGUGAAUGUUAACGGCUCAUAAAGGCAGUGUGGACCCAAAGAGCGAAAGAACAACACUCCUACAGCGUGGAAGGGGACCAGAGUGGGUUGCCACUGCUGGCUCGGGCAGCCUGCUUUUAUUCUCUCAUCUAGCCCUACCCACAUCCUGCUGAUUGGUAGAGCAGAGUGGUCUGUUUUGACAGGGUGCUGAUUGGUGUGUUUACAAUCCCUGAGCUAGACACAAAGGUUCUCCAUGUCCCCACCAGAUUAGCUAGAUAGAGUGUCGACACAAAGGUUCUCCAAGUCCCCACCAGCGUAGUUAGAUACAGAGUGUUGAUUGGUGCAUUCACAAACCCUGAGCUAGACACAGGGUGCUGAUUGGUGUGUUUACAAACCUUGAGCUAGAUACAGAGUGCCGAUUGGUGUAUUUACAAUCCCUUAGCUAGACAUAAAGGUUCUCCAUGUCCCCACCAGACUCAGGAGCCCAGCUGGCUUCACCCAGUGGGUCCCGCACUGGGGCUGCAGGUGGAGCUGCCUGCUAGUCCCGCACUGUGUGCCCACACUCCUCAGCCCUUGGGUGGUCGAUGGCACUGGGUGCCGUGGAGCAGGGGGCGGUGCUCAUUGGGGAGGCUCGGGCCGCACAGGAGCCCAUGGAGUGGGGGGAGGCUCAGGCAUGGCGGGCUGCGGGUCCCGAGCCCUGCCCCGGGGGAAGGCAGCUAAGGCCCUGCGAGAAAUUGAGCACAGCAGCUGCUGACCCAGGUGCUAAGCCCCUCACUGCCCGGGGCCGGCGGGGACGGCCGCGGCUCCGAGUGCGAGGCCCGCCGAGCCCACGCCCACCUGGAACUCGCCCUGGCCCGCAAGCACCGCUCGCAGCUCCGGUUCCGCCCACGACUCUCCCUCCACACCACACCGCAAGCUGAGGGAGCCGGGUCCGGCCUUGGCCAGCCCAGAAAGGGGCUCCCACAGUGCAGCGGCAGGCUGAAGGGCUCCUCAAGUGCCGCCAAAGUGGGAGCCCAGGCAGAGGAGGCGCUGAGAGCGAGCGAGAGCUGUGAGGACUGCCAGCAUGCUGUCACCUCUCACAGAUAGGGUUUCACCAUGUUGGCCAAGCUGGUCUUGAACUCCUGACCUCAGGUGAUCCACCCACCCCAGCCUCCCAAAGUGCUGGGAUUACAGGCCUGAGCCACCUCGUCCGGACGCAGACUUUUGUUUUUUAGUGAGAAUUAAGUUGAUGCAAGCAUCAAGGGCCCCCAAGCCUGUUCAAACACCACCUCUUCCCAAUUGAAUCCUGAAAUGGUUGGAAGCAGUAACUAGAUUUAGAGCCUCAGGCAAGGUAGUUUCCUUUUUUUUUUUUUUUUUUUUUUUAAAUCUUUUGAGACAGAGUCUUGGCUCUGUCACCCAGGCUGGAGUACAGUGGCACAAUCCCUGCUCACUGCAGCUUCUGCCUCCAGAGCUCAAGCAGCCCUCCCACCUCAGCCUCCUGAGUAGCUGGAGCCACAGGCAUGUGCCACCAUGCUCAGCUAAUUUUUGUACUUUUCUGUAUAGAAGGAGCCUCACCACAUUGCCCAAGCUGGUCUUGAACUCCUGGGCUCAAGUGAUCCACCUGCCUUAGCCUCUCAAAGUGCUAUGAUUACAGGUGUGCAUCACUGUUCCCAGCCUGGCAGUUUCUUUACCUAUGAUAUGGGGGUGAUAAAUACUUUCCUGACCGUUGUGAGGACUACUUGGCAGGCUGAGGUAGGGCCUUUCUUCCUCUUCCCUCCUCAAACCUUCUGUUUCUCUAUACUGCUCUUCCCCCAGCUAUGAGUGCAGCAAGAAUUUACUAAGACCCCAUGCUCCCUGUAUAGGUGUGCUUGCUCCUCUGAGCAUUACAGACACUUCAUUGUUCAAAAUCUUCUAAAUCUGCCUGGCAUGGGGGCUUGCACCCAUAAUCCCAGGAGGCUGAGGCAAGAGGAUCCCCUGAACCUAGGAGUUUGAGGCUGCAGUGCCCUCUGAUGGCUCCUGUAAACAGCCACUGCACUCCAGCCUGGGCAACAUAGACUCUGUCUCUUAAAAAAAAAAAAAGUUCAAAUGCUGCUUGGGACACAAAUCAGGGACACAAAAAGCCAGAUUCCAGCCACACACUGAACCAGAGGGAAUCUUAGACAAGGAUGGGCCAAGUGGUUUAGAAUGAAAUAGCCUGGGCCCUCCAGAGUGAGGCCAAAAAGUGAUCUGGAACAGUUCCUAUACUUUUGGGAAAGGGUGUGGCUACCCUUCCACCUGAGACAGCAUCUGUCCCUCCUGCUCACAUCACUACCCCGAAGGUGGUAGAGGGACCCAGAAAAGAUAACAGCUCAGCCCAGAGAUUAUCAUGUACCCAUUCUGCACUGUAGAAAGAAAAUAGUGCUCCAGAUUACUACUUAUGAUGUUGCCCUGUUUUUAAGGAUGGCAAUGGGGGCGCCCAAUUCCUCAGCAAAAACCUUGUGAAUGAUUUUGGCCAUAGUGCUAAUGGAUUUACACUGAUUUUGCACCUUCCACAGUCUCACCUUCUCGUGUUAGGCUAUUUUCUACUUGCUCCUCAAGCUAUGGGCCAUUUCUAUCCCUGCUUUCAGCAAAACAUCUCAAAAGAGCUGCUUACACACACACCCUCUCCCCUCACCUCCCAUCCUCCUUUGAACCUGUUCCAGUUUGGUUUUUGAUUCUACCAGUCAAUCUAUCAAGGUCACUAAUUCCUUCCAAGUUGCUAAAUCCGAUAAUCUGUUGUCAGAAGUCAUUUUCCUUGACCUCUCAACGGCAUUGAGCAGAUGUGACCUCCCUAUCCUGGAAGCGCUCCUCCCUCACGUCCGUCUUCCUCCCUCGCUGGCCACUGCUCAGCCUGCUCUGCUGGCACUGCCUCCCUGCCUCCUGUCAGAACUUUAGACAAGCCCCAAGCAGUGCUUGAACUCUUGAGGUCUCAUUCUGUCUCAUCACUUUUUUUUUUUUUUCCUUCAGACAGGGUUUCAUUCUGUCACCCAGGCUGGAGCACAGUGGUGCAAUCACAACUCACUGCAGCCUCGACCUCCUGGGCUCACAUGAUCCUCCCACAUCAGCCUCCUGAGUAGCUGAGACCACAGGCACACACCACCAUGCCCGGCUAUUUUUUGUAUUUCUUUAUAGAGUCUGGUCAGGCUGGUCUCGAACUCCUGGGCUCAAGCGAUCCACCCAUCCUGGCCUCCCAAACCAAAGUGCUGGGAUUACAGGCAUGAGCCACCAUGCCUGGCUGUCUCAUCACUCUAAAUUUAUUGUUAUUUUUAUUUUUUUGAGACAAAGUCUCGCUCUGCUGCCCAGGCUGGAGUGCAGUGGCGCGAUCUCGGCUCACUGCAACCUCUGCCACCCGGGUUCAAGAGAUUGUCGUGCUCCAGCCUCCAGAGUAGCUGGAAUUACAGGCCCCCACCACCACACUCAGCUAAUUUUUUUAUUUUUAGUAGAGACAGGGUUUCACCAUGUUGGCCAGGCUGGUCUUGAACUCGCGAUCUCAGGUGAUCUGUCCGCCUUGGCCUCCCAAAGUCCUGGGAUUACAGGCAUGAGCCACUGCACCCAGCCUGUCUCAUCACUUUAAGUCCCAUCUGUAUAAUACAUAUCUCUGGCCAGCUCAGAGCUCUCCCCUAAAUUCCAGAUCCAUGUAUCCCUUGUCUGCACCAAAUCUCACUUUGGUUGCAUGGCAGGUACCCGACACUCACCUUGUCCUGAUGCCCCUCAGAAAUGGCCAUCCCAGGAAAUUGCAGUCCCGUCCCUCCAGUUGGUCAAGCCAAGACCCAAGGAGUCACCCGUGACUCUCUCUCUCCCUCACACCCCUCAUCCAAACCAUCAGCACAUCCUGCAAGCUCUGCCUUCACAAUGAAUCUGGGAUCUGAACAGUCCUCACUGUGGCAUUCAGGGUUCUGCCCCACAGCCACAUCCACGCUUCUGACCUCAUGAGCUCUCUCCCCUGGCUCACUUAGCUCCAGCCACCCUGAGCUCCCGGACAGUCUUCGAAUGUGCCGGACAUAUCUCAGAGGCUUCACGCUUGCUCCUUCCUCUGCCUGGGCCACCCUUUACUCAGGCAAACAUCACCUUCUAAAUAAGGCCUUCCCCAGCCAUUCUCUAUUAGGCCCAUUGCAGUCCCCCCACUCUUCUCCAGUACUCCCAGUUUUCCUCCCUGGUUUAUUUUUCUCGUUAGCACCUAACACCAUUUAAUACGUAUUGCACCCAUAUGUUUAUUGCCUCUCCCCCAACUAGAAGGUAUAGAGCAGGAAUUUUUUACUGUUUUAUUCACUGCUGUAUCCCAAGCUCCAAGAAGAGUGCCUAGCACAUAGUAGGUACUCAAUAAAUAUUUUAUGAAUGACUUCAUAGAGAUAAUUAUUAUAUCAACAGCAGAUAUUAAUUCAUUAUAUUUAGCUUAUACUCUUUAAAAAUAUUGACAAACUGUCACUUUAAACAAUCUUUAAAUAUUUUAAACUAUCUUUAAAUAUAUGGUUUAGGCCGGGCGCAGUGGCUCAUGCCUGUAAUCCCAGCACUUUGGGAGGCCGAGGUGGGCAGAUCACAAGGUCAGGAGAUCAAGACCAUACUGGCUAACACGGUGAAACCCCAUCUCUACUAAAAAUACAAAAAAUUAGCCGGGCGUGAUGGCGGGCGCCUGUAGUCCCAGCUACUCAGGAGGCUGAGGCAGGAGAAUGGCUUGAACCUGGGAGGCGGAGCUUACGGUAAGCCGAGAUCCCACCACUGCACUCCAGCCUGGGCCGCAGAGCAAGACUUUGUCUCAAAAAAAAAAAAAGAAAAAAUAUGUAUAUAUCUAUAUAUGGUUUAAAUAGGGCUGGGCGUGGUGGCUCACGCCUGUAAUCCCAGUACUUUAAGAGGCCGAGGCAGGCAGAUCACGAGGUCAGGAGUUCAAGAUCAUCCUGGCCAAGAUGGUGAAACCCCAUCUCUACUAAAAAUACAAAAAUUAGCUGGGCACGGCAGCGCGCACCUGUAGUCCCAGCUACUCGGGAGGCUGAGGCAGGAGAAUCACUUGAACCCAGAGGGCGGAGGCUGCAGUGACUCAAGGUCGCGCCACUGCACUCCAGCCUGGGCAUGAAGUGAGACCCCAUCU